GGCACCAAACAUCAGAGCUAGAAAAGUAAUCUCCUUCCUUAUUCCUGCAACACGCCUCCAGACGAACGCCAGUUUGUAGAAAAGUCAAUUGCUCUGACAAAUGAGCUCGAAUAAGCAACCGCCCAACAACCCAGGACACCAGGUUUCGAUCCCUUUGGUCCAACAACCAACGACCAUUAUUGUUACGCAGCCAUCCAAUGACGUGCCUCGACAUUAUUCAGCUCUGAGAUGCCUGCCUCACCACUCAACGGUCUCGACCUGUUCGAAUUGCGCCAAGUUGGUUUCUACGCGCGUAGUUCACAGGUCCAACUGCAUGACUCACUGUUUUGCAUUUUGUCUCUGCAUGAGCCUGUGCUGGCCUUGCAUUUGCUUCCCUUACUGCAAUAAUAACUGCAAGACGACCAGCCACUACUGCAUCUACUGCGACAGUUACCUGGGAGACUCUUCUAAUCCUUAAUUCGGACUCAAGAGUUUUAAUGCAAGACAACGUAUUUGAGGAAAAAUGUUCUUAAAAAUGAGUUAUUUACUUGUUACGAAAUAUUUAAUGCAUGGAAAAAAUAUUAUAAAAUUAUUCAACAAUAAAUUUAUUAUAUUAUGCCAUGAAAUACAAUUUACAGAGACGUGCUUGCAAA